rnacentral:rRNA from 1 species
ACUCCUACGGGAGGCAGCAGUGGGGAAUAUUGGACAAUGGGCGGAAGCUUGAUCCAGCCAUGCCGCGUGUGUGAAGAAGGCCUUUUGGUUGUAAAGCACUUUAAGCGAGGAGGAGGCGCUGUAGGAUAAUACCCUAGAUGCGUGGAC